UGAAAGUUGUCUUUCUCAGUUUUCUCGAGUUUUGAAGAUGAUGAUGAUAGUGUAUUCACGUCGAGCCCUGUGUUUUACUUCGAAGACGCGCCUGAGUCGCCACCACCAAGCU